GAAAUUUUAAUUUUUUUAUAUAUUAAUUUGAAUGUUUGAUCUUUUUAAUUUAUAUAUAUUUGUUAAUGGAGAAAAAUUAGAAGUAUCUCUAGAUUUUUUUUUUUUUUUUGGUCAAGUAUCUCUAGAUUAUAAAUAUGUUUUCUUCUGCGUAUAGGCUACUCAUGCUCAUUGGAUCCCUUACGUACAGCUGCCGAGUAGUUGUUGUUUGGUGAGAGCUUACUAAUUGUACAUUUA
rnacentral:lncRNA from 1 species